rnacentral:rRNA from 1 species
UACGUAGGGGGCAAGCGUUGUCCGGAUUUAUUGGGCGUAAAGAGCUCGUAGGCGGCUUGUCGCGUCGUCCGUGAAAACCAGGGGCUCAACCCCUGGCUUGCGGUCGAUACGGGCAGGCUAGAGUUCGGUAGGGGAGACUGGAAUUCCUGGUGUAGCGGUGAAAUGCGCAGAUAUCAGGAGGAACACCGGUGGCGAAGGCGGGUCUCUGGGCCGAUACUGACGCUGAGGAGCGAAAGCGUGGGGAGCGAACAGG